rnacentral:lncRNA from 1 species
AUGAUGUACAAGGUUUCUAGAUCUCAUCCUCUGCUCUCACUCUGUCUCUCUCAAUGGCGAUUCGAGAUCUAGGGUUUCUCCCAGAUCGAAUGAUGUACAAUGUUCUAAUGCAAAAAUGGAUUUCCUGGCUUUUAAACACCCUUAAAUCUUUUGGGCGGCCUUUUGAAUUUCAAAAGCCCUAAACAUUUUCAGAUCUGAACAAAAACCAACCACGAAUACACUUUCAGAUCUCACAUCUCCUCCUUGGUUUCUGCGACACUCUAUCUUUGUCCCUUCUCUGGUUCUAGAGAUGACGAUCGUCGUGUCAAGGAAGAGGUAUGCGACGAAGCUGCGGUGGUGGAACCUCUGAAGAUGGACAGUGAUGGCGGCGGUUAGGGUUCGAGCCGUGAAACCAACUUUUUGAGAUUUGCUCUUUGCUUUGGAGAUUCUGUUCAAGGAGAUAAAUACUUAAAAAAUAGAUAAGAAGAUUGGAGCUGCAACUGCACAUGAAGUUCGAGCCACGAUUGGGGUGAUGGUGAUGGUUCAUGGUGACGAUACAGGGUUGAUUUCAGACUUCUCAAGUUGUCUACAGGUUCAUAUCCCGUCUGGUGCGAGAUCCCUUUGUUUGGUUUAAAAAUUGUAGAUCAUUCUUUGUCGGAGCUUUAGAAUUUAUAUCCGGUGCCGACAUAAAAACCGCCAUCGAGGUCGCAGGGAGCCAAUGGCUCGGCUCAGACUAUUCGGUUCCGUGGAAGUGGCGAACUGAACGGUUGAGAAAAUCAAGUCAAGUCUGGUCAACCUGGUCGUGUACACUUACUCAGUUGUCGUCCGAAUCAACAAAGCGGUCAGUCUCUGUCAGACAAAUAUAUUAGUAAUUAAAUGCUGAAACUUUUGCUUGCUACUAAUCGAAUGCAGAACACAAAUACGAGAUUGUGAGGAAACUACAAGAGCGAAAGCAUAUAUGCAGAAUGACAGGAGAUGGUCAAAAUGACCCAGAAAUUUGGUGUGAAAUCGAUCAGAGACGAAGAAUUUGAGCUUAUAUCAGCUCUUUAUCUCCAAGUCAGCAUCAUCAGCCAGGCACUCAUUUUCGUUACAAGAUCACGAAACUGGUUGUUUGUUGAACGCCCUGGGCUUUUACUCCUCACCGCCUUUUUUAUAGUUCAGCUGCUGGAUGUGACAUCAGCUCAACUUCUUGUGACUGAUAGUGACUUCGGGAGUCCAGAAUUUUGGAAACAACUUACUGAUGAUAGCUUUAACACAAAACAGUGACACAUUGAUUAGCGAAAAAAAUAGAAACACAUAUUGAUACCCGAUACAACAGAUCCGCUUGGUCAUUGGCACUGAUGCCAGCUCAGUUUCACAACAGAUUGAAGUACUCCAAGUUUAUGCAGUCUUUGCCACCAAAUUAGGUGGUGGAUUUGGUCAGAAGGUCAUUACCCCUUGCUCAUCAUCAGAUGAUGACCCAAAUUAGGUGGUGGAUUUGGUCAGAAGGGCAUUACCACUUGCUCACCAGAUGAUGACCCAACGAGGGAGGGCAUUACCACUUGCUCAGAUUCUGUUGUUAAAAGAACUAACUUAAGAAAAUUGACUUUUCGGUUGAUAUAUUUUGGGGUUACUUAUAGUAUAUGCAAUAAGUAAAUUGGGUUAUAAAAUGUCAAUUUUUAUGUUUACACAGUGUAUUUAGAGCUUACUUAAACAUAUUUUGUAACUUUACUUAAACUUAUUUUGCAACUUUUCGUACUUUUAGACAUCGCCUAGGUCUUGAGUUGAAAGGGACACCACUUGCUUAUAUGUAUAUACUUGCUCUAUUUUGUUGGCUAGAUUUUCAUGGCUUAGCAAAAAAGGGACCCCACUAUUUUGUUUUGGUUCUUCAAUACACGACUGUCGCAAGUAAACACUUAGCAUAAGAAAAUUUAAUUUUAGAAUUUUGUUGUAUAUACCUUUGAAUGUUAAAUAUAGUUCAGAAAUUAUAGGCGGAUUGGUUUGAUUAGUUUUGAGCUUAUGGUUGUGUUUUUGUUGGCUUGGCGCAGUUCGGUUUGUUUACAUUUUUUAAAACUCUUUAAAUCUCAUGACCGGUUUUGAAGUACCUUA